GGAAAAGAACCGCUGCCACCUCAGCAGCGUCCAAUCCCGGGAAAACAAAGGGGAUUCCCAUUGUCAUUGUCUUCGUCUGCAGCUGAUCAUCACCAGCACUAGCAAGGCAGUAGCUUGCGCAGUUAUCUCCACAGCGGGCAAUGUCACAACCCGACCAACAGCACAAACUACUACCUCAGCCAGGCCUGGCGCACCCGGCCCCUGCUGGGGGGAACGAGCAGGCAGACACCGCGUCACCGAUAAACGAAGUUACAGGGAAAAACAGCAGGAAGAUAAAAGGGCUCUGGGGUCUUUUGAUGAUCCUCGUCUCCUUUAUCUGCUGCAGACAUCAACCAGACUCCUCUCGUCUGACUGAAAAGCGGAGGGAAACCCCGCCCAGCUCCCUCCCCAGCGCUGCCCUUUUCCUUGCAUGACCUGAAGCCGACGGGCAGAGCUCCAUUUAUCAGAUACAUCACAGACCCCAGCUGGUGCAGCAGAGGGCACGUUUAAUUUCAAAGUGCCACCGCUCCGCACACCUAUAACAGAUGGGGAGGGAAAGAAGAGAGGGAGGAAGGAAAGGAGAGAAGCGGGGGGCAGCGGGCACGGCAGACAACCACCCCCAGCCCGCCCGACCCUCCCCGCGCGGAGCCGCGGCCCCGUCCCGGCGCUGACCCCCGCCGCCCCCGGGGAGCGCGGGGUGGGGGCGCUGCCCGGCCCCGCUCUCGCAGCUCCGCCGCGCCGCCGCCCGCAGGGCCGGGAGGGACCUCCGCGCCGGCGCCCUCAGCGGGAAGCGCCCGCCGCCUCUCCCGGGCCGCGGUGCCGGCGGGAAGAAGGAAGCCGAACCCUCGAGGGCGCCGGGGCGCAGUCCUCGCGAUCGGGGAAGGGAAAGCGCUCGCCUUGCCGAGGCCGCAGACAAAGGGGCGCCGGGCGGCCCCGCUCCCGCCGCGGCUCCGUCCCUCGCCGCCGACCGCCGCCGCCUGUGUGUCCGGCCGAACCAUAGAGAUCGUUUAAGGCGGGGGGGAGAGAGGGGCUCAUCCGCUGCCCACGUGACUGGACAUGUCACUCACCCGGCCGGCGCCAUCUUGGGGAGGGAGGGGAUGCCGCUGCCCCCGGCUCGCGUUCAAGAUGGCGCGGGCGGGCGGGCAGAAGGCCGCUGCUCGGAGGAGAGCGCUGCGCCACUCCCCUCGGCUCCCGCCGGACUGCGCGAGUGGGGGGAGUUAACGCUCGUCCGGAGGAUGCUGGGAGGGGGGAGCUCCCGCUCUCGAUCCGGGGCUCCUUGAAAGACGCGGGAAGAGCCGCCCGCCCGCUGGGGCUGCUUGCUGGGACCGCCGCCGGGGGGAGCUCGGCGCGGCGGGACCUCGCCCGACUGUCUCACAGUGCCGCGGGCGGAGGGGCGCUGAGGGCCGCGGGGAGGGAGUGCCGGUCGGCAGCGCUCCGAGGCCCCGAGCCCGGUCCGGGGGAGGGCAGCGCUACGCGCCGCACCCCGCGCGGAGGGACUGUGCGUUCGAACGCCUUUUUUGUUGAGUCAAAUCUGAACCUGAAGGCGCUUGUGUUUUUAAAUGGGAAUAGACCACAGUGCGAUUGAUCCGUGCUAGAAACUGACUGAACGUCAUUACGAGAGCACGCAAAGUUAGGAGCGCCGAUGUUUUAAGCAAGUUCAUUUUGUCCCUCAACACAUCUGGUGACCAAACUGCCAAAAAAUCGCUACCAAUGCCUGCACAAAGCAGGGGGAUUGAAACUCGAUGAUCACUGUGGUCCCUUUCAACCCAGGCCAUUCAGCACGAGAGGAAUUAGGGGCAGGAGUCAAACCCACAGAGAUGGAGGGUGCAGAAAUGACCCUAUGUGCAACUGAACAUAAAGGAAAUAGAAUAGCCUUGGGUUUCUCAGCACAAAGCUACCCACACAGCUUGGUCCUAGCAUAAAACCCAGUGACAACUUGGAGGAAAUCUGUUGACAAAGUCAUGCUGGAAAGCAGCCAGAACGCUGCCUCCGAGAUCCAAAGAUGGCAAUACUUUAUAAUGAUCCUGUAGUUGUCUGCUUUAAAGUUUGCACCUAUGUUGGCAACAGGGUUGAUAGUACAUCGACUGCUUGUUUAAAAGACAUUGAAACCAGUGACAUUCUGCUGGAGGAAAUACACGGACCAUUUCUGGUAUGUUUUUGAUACUGGCUGCAAAGUUGAACGUUCUAAGAGGCCUCAUUCCUACAUAAAGCCACGUAAUGAUAUUUCACGUGGGUCAGUAAGACUUAGAGUAAUUCUGCUAUUUGAGGUCAGUGCAGAGGAAGUUAAAUACUAUGAAGGAAUGGGUACACCAGGUGAGUGCAGGUUCUACUCUACUGCUUGUGUAUGGGUAAAAAAGCAGUUCUGAAAAAGAAGCACAAAUGGGAAAACCUAAGUGCUUAUUUGAAAAACACACACACACAAAACCAGAAAAGUGACUUAUUUUUAAUAGUGAUAAAAAUAAGCAGGGAGCUGUUUUUUGCCUUAUCUUGCACUUGUAUUUAUCUUUCUGAAAAGAUUACUACUUUGUUAGCAAUUAUUUAAAUGUUUGCUUGCAAUUAAACAAUAGCAUUUGUGCUAAGAUUGCCAUCUUUUCCAAUUAGGAAAUGCACUGUAUAUAAUUAGCAAUUCAGUAUCUUAUUUUUUAAAUUCAAUUUUUUUUUCCAGAAAAUGUUCUAAGUACAUUUUUCCCAAUUAUUUAACAUCCCAUUAGUCAUCAUAGGGCUCUAUUUGGAUGCAAAGUAGAAUUAUAUGGAAAAAGGCAUUCAAGCUAAUUCUUUCUUACAUCGAUCUGUUUCAGAUGUGCUGGAUACAUUCAGGAAAUACCUAAUGAUAAAAAGAGACAGAACUGUUUGUAGCUACCAUUCAGCUUUUAGACAAAGUACAUUUUACCCUCACAGACCUUUCCUAUGCAUGGAAGAGGAAAAAGCAAGCUUUCUUCUUUUUCAGCUCCUAAACUUUUUCCAACUUUGAACUGAUUGUUUGACUUCAGCUGGAUAAAGUACAACUGAGCUGCAAGAAGCUACUACAAUCAGACCAUGGUUUAGCUCUUCAAAAACUUGCUUCUCACUCUAACAAGGCAGGGCUGCAUACUACUCCGUCAGUUCACUGCAUUCUCUUUAAGGCUUUGCCAACACAUAACUGCUUAAAAAUUUAAGAGAUUAUAGUGCAUUCGGCUUUAACACAGGUUAUUGAUUUCAUAUUUUAUGAGAAAAUAUUUAAAUAAGACUUCUCUAAAAGAAAUGUAAAUGUCUUUCCUCAUUUGUUCUAGGGCAGUACUGUGUGCAGAGUCAAAGGACUGUUUUAGAGGUAAGGCAGUGCCAUAUCGUGCUACAACACCAAACCUGGAGGCAUGAACAGAUGUUCAGUAAGCAUAUCUGCAAGUAAUAGUUCUGAUGUACUCCAGAAACUGGUUCUUUGUACGUGGACAUACGAGUAGUACUAUGUGCAUAAUAUUCCUGUCUCUUUCCAUGCUUGCUCGUGAAAGAGGUUGAUCAAAACCAGACUUCUGUCUGCGCAUUUUAAAGGUCUUCUAUUGGUGGCAAUCCAGUUUUGACUGCUGUUUCUUUGUGGGGUCUCAGUCCCUUUCCUGAUAUGACCUGAUGUGAUGGGGGAAAGAAGGUAGAGUCCUCUGGCAAGGAAGCCAGAAACUUAAGCAAUUCCUUGACAAUUUUAACUGUUCCAAGAAAUAGCUAACAUUAAAAACUUCAGAGAAGGCAAUCCUAGGUUUCCCAACAGUCUGUCACCCUCACCAGCUUCAGCAAUCUUGAAGAUGUCAGCUUUGGAAAUAUUACUGGUCAUGGCCAAGUCACUUAGCUCAUUCCAAGCCUAAGGCAGGUAUUCCGUACACAGAGAGCAAUAAUUAUCAUUCCAGCUUAAAGACCACGGUCUUCAAAAAUAAAACUGAAUAUGCUAAACAGGCAUCUGACUUAGAAGGGAUUUUCCUUCCUUCUUAUCUCUGGGCAACCCCUCCUGAAAGACUAAAAGUAAACCAAAACAAAAAACAAACCAACAUACAUUCUUAACAAUAUUAAACAGGCAUAAGCUGGGGCCUUUGAGUAUGUUUCAACUUUGCAGUAUUUCAGUAUUUCUGAUCAAAAACUAAGAUGGUAGCUGUGUUUAACACAUCCUUUCUGUUGAGAACAUGCUUCAGGUGAUAGGGGAUUAUAGUGUUGACAAAUGAGAUUCCUUUAAUUAGCAAACACUGCUGUAAAACAUUUUCAGAACCAGUUUUGGUAGUGUUAAGGACAGCCAUUUUUAUACUGGAGUAAUUUCUUAAGGAAAACCAUCAAAACAUGGGAAACCAUCAGUCUCCUAUUCAAUAAAGGUGGCAGAAUAAAAUGGAGAAAACUCACUGCUGCUUGAGUGCAGAAUCUUACAUUUAUCUUGAUGAACUGCAUCUUAGUGUUUGGGAGACAAUUUCCCCAAUUGAAGUGUUCUGUAUAAUCCUGUUUUCUAGCAUACUUGUAGUACUGCUUUUCAUGCAAUUUCACUUUUUUUUAUUGUGAAAUCAUUCUGUGUAAUUCAAAAUCUGAAGAGAGUUUUUUGUACGUCCUACCUACAUCAUUAUCUGUGUUUCCACUGAAUAAAACCUGAAGGUUGUAAGAAACAAAUAAAUGUUGAGUUCUAUUUUAUUUAUUUAGAAAGAAUGAGUAGCCUUGUCUGAUCUACAUUCCAGCACAAACAAAGGCAAUAACACCACUGUAAUAUGCUUGUAUCAGUAUAGCAAAACACACAUUUUUUUACUAAAACAUACUUGUGAAACUUGAAGAUUAUUUACUCCCCAAAUGAAAUCUAUGUUUUACAUGAACUCCUACAGUCAUUUUUGUUGGAGUUGCACUUGCCCUGGUAAGCAAAAUACUGUGUAGACUAACAGGUGUCCUUGCUCCCAAAACUUACACAAGAGAGUCAUGGACAUACUAGAGAGAGUCUAACAAAG
rnacentral:lncRNA from 1 species